CCGAGUUGUAAUUUGGAGACGGGACACUAGAGAGGAGGAAGGCGAUUAAGUGCCUUGGAACAGGCUGCCGUAGAGGGUGAGAGCCCCGUGAAUCGCUGGAGACCGAUCAAUUAGUGCCCUCCGAAGAGUCGAGUUGUUUGGGAAUGCAGCUCUAAGUGGGUGGUAUAUUCCAUCUAAGGCUAAAUAUUAGCGAGAGACCGAUAGCAAACAAGUACAGUGAUGGAAAGAUGAAAAGAACUUUGGAAAGAGAGUGAAAUAGUACGUGAAAUUGUUGAAAGGGAAGGGUAUUUGAUCCGACAUGGUGUUUAGCAGCGGCCCGUUCCUCGUGGAUGGGUGCACCUGGUUUACACUGGGCCAGCAUCGGUUCUGGGAGCCAUAUACGGGGUUCGUGAAUGUGGCCCUUCGAUUCUGUCGGAGGGUGUUAUAGCGCGGACAUCUUGUGGCUAGCCGGGACCGGGGACUGCGGUGACUUUCACCAAG
rnacentral:rRNA from 1 species